GACGCGGUGGCAGAGCGGCCAUGCACGGGGCCUAGCAAUCCUCGCACGCCGGUUCGAAUCCGGUCCGCGUCUCCA
rnacentral:tRNA from 1 species